rnacentral:rRNA from 1 species
UACGUAGGGGGCUAGCGUUGUCCGGAAUCAUUGGGCGUAAAGAGCGUGUAGGCGGCCCGGUAAGUCCGCUGUGAAAGUCGGGGGCUCAACCCUCGAAAGCCGGUGGAUACUGUCGGGCUAGAGUGCGGAAGAGGCGAGUGGAAUUCCUGGUGUAGCGGUGAAAUGCGCAGAUAUCAGGAGGAACACCGAUUGCGAAGGCAGCUCGCUGGGACGUAACUGACGCUGAGACGCGAAAGCGUGGGGAGCGAACAGG